UAAACGUUCUUCCUUCGGUCCAAAGAUUAUUACUUCAGUUUUGUUUUGAUUCAGCUGAAGAAAAUGUAGGCCCAUCCAUGCAUUGAUUUCUUCUAAGCAUUUACCAAGCGCUUGAAUAGGUUCAUUGUUAUCUGGUGACAUCGUAAUGUAUAGCUGUGUGUUGUCUGCAUAGUUAUGGUAACUUAUGUUGUUGUUUAUUACAAUCUGAGUGAGGGGGAGCAUGUAGAUACUGAAUAGAAAGGGCCCUAAGAUGGACCCUUGGGGAACGCCACAUGUGGUUUUUGUGGUCUGCAAUGCCAAAGGAUGCCAAACCAUUUGAUCAUACUGAUCAACCUACAGAGGGCUUAAUCUGAAGUCACAAAAAAAUUGAAACAGAAAAACAGAUGCGGCAGGCCAGUCAAAUUUGCUGAAAUGUCAUUGCCGCAACUCUAAAUAGUACUCAGCAGUUUGUAUGGCCCCCACGUGCUUGUAUAUGUGCCUCACAAUGUUGAGUCAUGCUCCUUAUGAGAUGACAAAUGGUGUCCUGGGGUAUCUCCUCCCAGAUCCUGACCAGGGCAUCACUGAGCUCCUGGACAGUCUGAGAUGCAACCUGGUGGCGUCAGAUGGACCUAAACAUGAUGUUCCAGAGAUGUUUGAUUGCAUUUAGCUAAGGGGAUCGUGGAGGCCACUCAAGUUCCAUGGUGAUGGGCAGUGAGUAUAUACCCUACUAGAGGAUGUCAGGCCAUCAGGCCAUUCUCAUGAAGUCUGUUUCUAAUGGUUUGGUCAGAGACAUUCACGCCAGUGGCCCCCUGGAGCUCACUUUGUAGGCCUCUGGCAGUACUCAUCCUUUUUCUAGUUGAACAAACGAGCAGAUACCAGUCCUGCUGAUGGGUUAACGAGCUCUGACAGCCCUGUCUAGCUCUCCUAGAGUAGCUAACUGCCUGUCUCCUGGAUACUCUGCCAUACUCCUGAGACUGUGCUGGGAGACACAGCAAACCUAAGGGCAAUGGCACUGGUAAUGGUAUUGAUAUGCCAUCCUGGUGAAGUUGGACUGCUUGUGCAACCUCUGUAGGGUCCAGGUUUCACCACAUGCUACCAGUAGUGACUGACCCUGUUCAUUUGCAGAACUAUUGAAAAUCAUUCCUGAUUUUUGGGCUGCCCCUUUAAUUCACCUGCAGCUAAUUUCAUCAACACCAAAACAGCUUGGACUGAUUAACAACCCCCUCUUCUACUGAACAGACCAGAUCAAUAUUCCAGGAGUUUAACUGAUAUGAUAUACUCUGAUUAAAAAGUAUCCCUUUCAUUUUUUUGAGCAGGUUAGAAACAAUUUCAGCUGUGCGCUACAAGAUCUUAGUCUGUCUUAUACUGGGGUCACAUGCUGGAGGUACGUUCCAGUACUUCAGCAUCAUUUUACAAGACUGGGAAAUUUUGGAACAAUGUCCUCUGGGUCGGCUUUGGGGAUUGCUUCACAGAGGGACAGCGUUAUGUCUCUCAGUAUGGUAUUUGUGGCUCCAAGCAGCACAUGGACUGAUGCGUCUGUCAGUAAAAGUGGAGGAUAUUUGGUUUAAAUAUCCCCACAUUGAAAUUUCUCCCAUCAGGAUAUCAGAAAUAAAACACGCCGCACUGAUGAACAUAAAUCGAGUUUUCUUUAAACUGUCAUAUGGGAGCAACUGAUCGGGAUGUCCCGCACACAACACCUUCUUGUUAAAUUUGGGCUGGUGGUUCAUCCCGUGAAGGUGCUGUCAUGAUCGGCCCAGUAGUCACGCUACAAUGCCUCAAGACCAAAUCUCUACUUCCUCCAGUCAGACGGAUCUGCAUCGCAGAGUGGACCCGUAAACAUGGGAGCGAGGGCUACAGGACCGUCCGCCUGACAGUCUUGUACUAAACAUGUACUGAAGCAGGAGUCUGCAGUAAAUGAUGCAAGAGCGCCGUCUAGUGGAGGCCACAUGGACACAGCUCAACUACCUGGAAAUCAUUAAAUGUGCUGCUGAGCAACAUUUUUCUCA